AGAGUUUGAUCCUGGCUCAGGAUGAACGCUAGCUACAGGCUUAACACAUGCAAGUCGAGGGGAAACGACAUCGAAAGCUUGCUUUUGAUGGGCGUCGACCGGCGCACGGGUGAGUAACGCGUAUCCAACCUGCCCACCACUUGGGGAUAACCUUGCGAAAGUAAGACUAAUACCCAAUGACGUCUCUAGAAGACAUCUGAAAGAGAUUAAAGAUUUAUCGGUGAUGGAUGGGGAUGCGUCUGAUUAGCUUGUUGGCGGGGUAACGGCCCACCAAGGCGACGAUCAGUAGGGGUUCUGAGAGGAAGGUCCCCCACAUUGGAACUGAGACACGGUCCAAACUCCUACGGGAGGCAGCAGUGAGGAAUAUUGGUCAAUGGACGAGAGUCUGAACCAGCCAAGUAGCGUGCAGGAUGACGGCCCUAUGGGUUGUAAACUGCUUUUAUAAGGGAAUAAAGUGAGUCUCGUGAGACUUUUUGCAUGUACCUUAUGAAUAAGGACCGGCUAAUUCCGUGCCAGCAGCCGCGGUAAUACGGAAGGUCCGGGCGUUAUCCGGAUUUAUUGGGUUUAAAGGGAGCGUAGGCCGGAGAUUAAGCGUGUUGUGAAAUGUAGACGCUCAACGUCUGCACUGCAGCGCGAACUGGUUUCCUUGAGUACGCACAAAGUGGGCGGAAUUCGUGGUGUAGCGGUGAAAUGCUUAGAUAUCACGAAGAACUCCGAUUGCGAAGGCAGCUCACUGGAGCGCAACUGACGCUGAAGCUCGAAAGUGCGGGUAUCGAACAGGAUUAGAUACCCUGGUAGUCCGCACGGUAAACGAUGGAUGCCCGCUGUUGGUCUGAAUAGGUCAGCGGCCAAGCGAAAGCAUUAAGCAUCCCACCUGGGGAGUACGCCGGCAACGGUGAAACUCAAAGGAAUUGACGGAAGGGCG
rnacentral:rRNA from 1 species